UACGUAGGUGACAAGCGUUGUCCGGAUUUACUGGGCGUAAAGAGCGCGCAGGCGGUCGAUCAAGUCGAGUGUGAAAGCCCCCGGCUCAACUGGGGAGGGUCAUUCGAUACUGAUCGACUCGAAGGCAGGAGAGGGUAGUGGAAUUCCCGGUGUAGUGGUGAAAUGCGUAGAUAUCGGGAGGAACACCAGUGGCGAAGGCGAACUACCUGGCCUGUUCUUGACGCUGAGGCGCGAAAGCUAGGGGAGCAACGGGG
rnacentral:rRNA from 1 species